rnacentral:rRNA from 1 species
AACGAACGCUGGCGGCAUGCCUAACACAUGCAAGUCGAACGAAACCUUCGGGUCUAGUGGCGCCCGGGUGCGUAACGCGUGGGAACCUGCCCUUAGGUUCGGAAUACCUCCCCGAAAGGGGUGCUAAUACCGGAUAAUGUCUUCGGACCAAAGAUUUAUUGCCUUUGGAUGGGCCCGCGUUGGAUUAGCUAGUUGGUAGGGUAAAAGCCUACCAAGGCGACGAUCCAUAGCUGGUCUGAGAGGAUGAUCAGCCACACUGGGACUGAGACACGGCCCAGACUCCUACGGGAGGCAGCAGUGGGGAAUAUUGGACAAUGGGCGAAAGCCUGAUCCAGCAAUGCCGCGUGAGUGAUGAAGGCCUUAGGGUUGUAAAGCUCUUUUACCCGGGAUGAUAAUGACAGUACCGGGAGAAUAAGCUCCGGCUAACUCCGUG